GAUGAACGCUGGCGGCGUGCCUAACACAUGCAAGUCGAACGGGAAUCUUCGGAUUCUAGUGGCGGACGGGUGAGUAACGCGUAAGAAUCUGACUUCAGGACGGUGACAACAGUUGGAAACGACUGCUAAUACCCGAUAUGCCGCAAGGUGAAAUCUAAUUGGCCUGGAGAAGAGCUUGCGUCUGAUUAGCUAGUUGGUGGGGUAAGAGCCUACCAAGGCGACGAUCAGUAGCUGGUCUGAGAGGAUGAGCAGCCACACUGGGACUGAGACACGGCCCAGACUCCUACGGGAGGCAGCAGUGGGGAAUUUUCCGCAAUGGGCGAAAGCCUGACGGAGCAACGCCGCGUGAGGGAGGAAGGUCUUUGGAUUGUAAACCUCUUUUCUCAAGGAAGAAGUUCUGACGGUACUUGAGGAAUCAGCCUCGGCUAACUCCGCGCCAGCAGCCGCGGUAAU
rnacentral:rRNA from 1 species